rnacentral:rRNA from 1 species
GAUGAACGCUGGCGGCGUGCCUAAUACAUGCAAGUCGAACGAGGUGCUUGAGUAGCAAUACGAGAGUAUCCUAGUGGCGAACGGGUGAGUAACGCGUUGGUGACCUACCCCAAAGUGUGGGAUAACAGUUCGAAAGGAUUGCUAAUACCGCAUGUGGUCUUCGGAUUUAGAAACUGAUGACUAAAGGAGCAAUUCGCUUUGGGAGGGACCUGCGUCCCAUCAGCUAGUUGGUGAGGUAAUGGCUCACCAAGGCUACGACGGGUAGGGGACCUGAGAGGGUGACCCCCCACAAUGGAACUGAAACACGGUCCAUACACCUACGGGUGGCAGCAGUAGGGAAUAUUGCACAAUGGGCGAAAAGCCUGAUGCAGCAACGCCGCGUGUGCGAUGAAGGCCUGGGUCGUAAAGCACUUUCUGAGGAGUGAGCAAGGACAGUACCU